UCUGUCAGAUCUUUGUCGAUCCAACCUGCCAGCUGCCUUCAAGGUUCUCUUCUUAAAAAUCCAAAUAUCUGUUCUUGUUGAGUAAAAAUAAUACAAUAUAAAUACAAAAUGAAAUCGAAAUUAGUCACGUUAAUUGUGACGAUAAGUGUCCUCGUAACUGCGCUCUACUUGGCGAACAAAAUCUCCAAGGAUAUUUUCAUUCCAGUAUUAAAUGAAACGGGGUCGUAAAGUUAUUGAUGGAAAUGAAUUACGAAAUCCUGUAAUUACUAAUUAGUACACAAAUUAAAAUCAGACUAGGACUGGACGAUAUGUAUUUUCUUAUCUAUUUUGUAUCUGAGAAAAAUAUUACUCAUUUUGUCAAUUAGUUCGUAAGUAAAUCACAUAGAAAUCACAUCUUUAAAAGUAGUUUGCAGAUAUGCUUUUAGGGAAUUAUCUUUGCAAAAUUUCCCAACCCUAAUUUUUCUAAAAUAUUUACAUUGUCAAACAUUAUUCAUUAAAUUGGCUAAAUAAUUAAUAUCAUCAUAUUUUCAAUUGCUCUCAAAAUUAUGCGUACUACAAAAUUGUAAUGAAAAUAUAAAUCUAAACUAGUGACAAUUCCCACGUGACGUCGCGAAUUUAAUGAAUGAAAUACAUAUGUAAUCAUGAUAAAA